UACUAGCUUUAGCGAUGGAUCGGUUGAUUCGCGUAUCGAUGAAAAACGCAGCAA
rnacentral:rRNA from 1 species